CACUUGUCCUAUGUGCAGGCCAUUAAGUCUUUGAUGAUGCAGCAUUUUGUUACUAGAUAGAAGAUACGCCUUUUCUCCCUCUGGAACUUCCUUUCAAGGGCCUGGCAUUCACUCUGCAAGCUUUGACAUUUUGAGGCUCAUGAGCAGGUAUGACAAAUAUAGUGUGGGAAGUGCCUGACUAAGAGCUUCAGCAAAAUUUCUGCCAAAUGGCAAAGGAAAGACAAAUGGCAAAAUGGAAAGGAAAAGAGGGACAACGCUAGUUUCAAGCCUGUGUCCGGUGUCUGGUCUUGUUACCAGCAGGCAGCUCUCACCAAGAAGGUUUCAGCAGAUACAAGAUCUACCCCGGACAAGGGCAGGACUGCACCAGGACCAAUCGGAAGGUUUCUCUGUUUCUGAACGCGAAAUGCAAGUGCAUGUGCCUUUCCAAAAGGAAUCCUCGGCAGAUAUACUGGACUGUCCUGGUUAAAAAUACAAAAGAAGAACAGUUGGAAGAAAUUCAAAAUAAAAGAAGCCACUGUGUUUUUAAAGUCCA